AUUGAACGCUGGCGGCAUGCUUUACACAUGCAAGUCGAACGGUAACAGGUCUUCGGCUGCUGACGAGUGGCGAACGGGUGAGUAAUACAUCGGAACGUGCCUAGUAGUGGGGGAUAACUACUCGAAAGAGUAGCUAAUACCGCAUGAGAUCUACGGAUGAAAGCCGGGGACCUUCGGGCCUUGUGCUACUAGAGCGGCUGAUGGCAGAUUAGGUAGUUGGUGGGGUAAAGGCUUACCAAGCCUGCGAUCUGUAGCUGGUCUGAGAGGACGACCAGCCACACUGGGACUGAGACACGGCCCAGACUCCUACGGGAGGCAGCAGUGGGGAAUUUUGGACAAUGGGCGAAAGCCUGAUCCAGCAAUGCCGCGUGCAGGAUGAAGGCCCUCGGGUUGUAAACUGCUUUUGUACGGAACGAAAAGCCUGGGGCUAAUAUCCCCGGGUCAUGACGGUACCGUAAGAAUAAGCACCGGCUAACUACGUG
rnacentral:rRNA from 1 species